rnacentral:rRNA from 1 species
UACGUAGGGUGCAAGCGUUGUCCGGAAUUAUUGGGCGUAAAGAGCUCGUAGGCGGUCUGUCGCGUCUGCUGUGAAAACUCAGGGCUUAACCCUGAGCUUGCAGUGGGUACGGGCAGACUAGAGUGCGGUAGGGGAGACUGGAAUUCCUGGUGUAGCGGUGAAAUGCGCAGAUAUCAGGAGGAACACCGGUGGCGAAGGCGGGUCUCUGGGCAGUAACUGACGCUGAGAAGCGAAAGCGUGGGGAGCGAACAGG